rnacentral:rRNA from 1 species
UACAGAGACUGCAAGCGUUGUUCGGAUUCAUUGGGCGUAAAGGGUCCGUAGGCGGUCGGUUAAGUCGGAUGUGAAAUCUCGUGGCCUAACCACGAGCGGUCAUUCGAAACUAAUCGGCUAGAGGGCUGGAGAGGAGACUGGAAUUGUCGGUGUAGCGGUGAAAUGCGUAGAGAUCGACAAGAACACCGGUGGCGAAGGCGGGUCUCUGGGCCGAUACUGACGCUGAGGAGCGAAAGCGUGGGGAGCGAACAGG